rnacentral:lncRNA from 1 species
CUCCUUCUUGGCCCCAGGCAGCUGGUCUCCACCUGUGAGUGUUGAGGCAGGAGGCAGAGCCGGCUGGGAUCCGCCCAUUCAAGGCAGUAAACUCUGUCAGCCACAGGGCUUUCCCACCUGCUAUUUUUCUAUUGUGCUCCUAGUCUCACACUUCUCUUUUCCAACAAAGGAGGGUAGAAUGUUCUUUUAACAAGGUUUAUGGAAUACUAGAUUCCUGGCUGAGUUUUAGGCAGAGUCUACAGUGUGUUGAUAUGGGACGUCUACAAGAUACAGCAAACAGUGAAAUUGUUAAUGCUUCCUUACCGCCAGCUUCAAAAAGAAAAAAGGAAGAUGGAGGAAGAUACAUGUUGGCCCCGCAACACAGCCCUGGAAAACCUGGGCCAGCCUCACCUGGGGAGAGUGGCUGGGAGGUCAGGAGUGAAGGGAGAUUUACUUUCACAUUUUUGGGUGUUUUGAUUGUUUUUAAGACUUUUUUUCAACAGUAGUUUCGGGUCACAGCAAAACUGAGCAAGAGAGAUUUCCCACACACCCUCUGCCUUACAAGCAUGAUGUUCACAUGAACUGUACUAUUCAAAAAAUUGAUUGAAAUGAUAAAAAAAAUAUUGAAAAAAGAAUCAAUUGCUUUGUAACUGAUUUGUUGAAACUUCUGUGUGAAAUUACUUUUCCUUUGGUUUCUUGGUUGACACUUCUGGAAGUUUGUGCAUCUUUAUAGAAUAAAAUUUCUCAACAGUGC